GAACUGCCUCCAAAACUAUCGGUCUAGAGUUCGAGAGAGGUGAGUGGAAUUCCGAGUGUAGAGGUGAAAUUCGUAGAUAUUCGGAGGAACACCAGUGGCGAAGGCGGCUCACUGGCUCGAUACUGACGCUGAGGUGCGAAAGUGUGGGGAGCAAACAGGAUUAGAUACCCUGGUAGUCCACACCGUAAACGAUGAAUGCCAGUCGUCGGGCAGUAUACUGUUCGGUGACACACCUAACGGAUUAAGCAUUCCGCCUGGGGAGUACGGUCGCAAGAUUAAAACUCAAAGGAAUUGACGGGGGCCCCCACAAGCGGUGGAGCAUGUGGUUUAAUUCGAAGCAACGCGCAGAACCUUACCAACCCUUGACAUCCUGAUCGCGGUUAGUGGAGAC
rnacentral:rRNA from 1 species